rnacentral:rRNA from 1 species
AUUGAACGCUGGCGGCAUGCUUUACACAUGCAAGUCGAACGGCAGCACAGGGAGCUUGCUCCUGGGUGGCGAGUGGCGAACGGGUGAGUAAUGUAUCGGAACGUGCCUGGUAGUGGGGGAUAACUACUCGAAAGAGUGGCUAAUACCGCAUGGGAUCUUUGGAUGAAAGCGGGGGACCUUCGGGCCUCGUGCUACUGGAGCGGCCGAUAUCAGAUUAGGUUGUUGGUGGGGUAAAGGCCUACCAAGCCUGCGAUCUGUAGCUGGUCUGAGAGGACGACCAGCCACACUGGGACUGAGACACGGCCCAGACUCCUACGGGAGGCAGCAGUGGGGAAUUUUGGACAAUGGGCGCAAGCCUGAUCCAGCAAUGCCGCGUGCAGGACGAAGGCCUUCGGGUUGUAAACUGCUUUUGUACAGAACGAAAAGUCUCUGGCUAAUAUCUAGAGAUCAUGACGGUACUGUAAGAAUAAGCACCGGCUAACUACGUG